rnacentral:rRNA from 1 species
UACGAAGGGGGCUAGCGUUGUUCGGAAUCACUGGGCGUAAAGGGUGCGUAGGCGGGUCUUUAAGUCAGGGGUGAAAUCCUGGAGCUCAACCUCCAGAACUGGCCUUUGAUACUGAGGAUCUUGAGUUCGGGAGAGGUGAGUGGAACUGCGAGUGUAGAGGUGAAAUUCGUAGAUAUUCGCAAGAACACCAGUGGCGAAGGCGGCUCACUGGCCCGUAACUGACGCUGAGGCACGAAAGCGUGGGGAGCAAACAGG